rnacentral:rRNA from 1 species
AACGAACGCUGGCGGCGCGCCUAAUACAUGCAAGUCGAGCGAGAAGACGUAGCAAUACGUUUGUAAAGCGGCGAACGGGUGAGGAAUACAUGGGUAACCUACCCUCGAGUGGGGAAGUAACUAGCCGAAAGGUUAGCUAAUACCGCGUACGCUCCUUGGACUUCGGUUCAGGGAGGAAAGCGAUACCGUGGGUAUCGCGCUCUUGGAUGGGCUCAUGUCCUAUCAGCUUGUUGGUGAGGAACGGCUCACCAAGGCUUCGACGGGUAGCUGGUCUGAGAGGACGGAUCAGCCACACUGGCACUGCGACACGGGCCAGACUCCUACGGGAGGCAGCAGUAAGGAAUAUUGCGCAAUGGGCGAAAG